rnacentral:sRNA from 1 species
GGUGCCAUGGCUGAGUCACACCUGCUGCAGUGGCUGCUGCUGCUGCUGCCCACGCUCUGUGGCCCAGGCACUGCUGCCUGGACCACCUCAUCCUUGGCCUGUGCCCAGGGCCCUGAGUUCUGGUGCCAAAGCCUGGAGCAAGCAUUGCAGUGCAGAGCCCUAGGGCAUUGCCUACAGGAAGUCUGGGGACAUGUGGGAGCCGAUGACCUAUGCCAAGAGUGUGAGGACAUCGUCCACAUCCUUAACAAGAGGGCCAAGGAGGCCAUUUUCCAGGACACGAUGAGGAAGUUCCUGGAGCAGGAAUGCAACGUCCUCCCCUUGAAGCUGCUCAUGCCCCAGUGCAACCAAGUGCUCGACGACUACUUCCCCCUGAUCAUCGACUACUUCCAGAACCAGAUUGUGAGGGCUGCAAGCUCACCUCCUGCCUGCCUCCUCACGCAGACCCCUGUGCCCACCCAUGGGGAGUCACGCACACAGCACC